rnacentral:lncRNA from 1 species
CACAGCCAUACGGAUGCCACGCGUACACCUAACCGCCAUGCAGGACGAAGGGACGCGACCUACCACUCGUGCGCCACCUAGAAUGCCAACUCAUCGAGCCUUGUGCUGCCACGUCAUCGAACCACGAGUCCAUUUCCGAAAACUAUAAGGCUCCCCAGCUCCUCGCGACGAUGCGUACGUGCCAAGUGCGCCUCUAAAGCGCCCAAUGCGUACUUUGCGACGUGCGCGUGCCGGGACCGGGUCCGGGUCCGGGUCCGGGUCCGGGUCCGGGGAAUGGUGCUAGUGGUGCGAAGCACCACUCUAGUGGUGACUAGCCUUUGGCUAGUUUGCUAGCCUUUGGCUAGCUAAAGUUAGCCAAGUGGUAGGUAACAUAUUAAAUUAUAUAUUAUUUACACAACCCACUAUAUAAACAAGACUAUUUUCUUGUAAACUUUCGAUGUGGGACUCCUUUCCAUAUAAAAACCACUUAAAAUGGGCUUAUCAACAUAUGAGCCUAUAUUGGAGACUUUUCCAAUUCACUUAAAUUAAUUGCAAUGACCCAUAUCAUUAAAUAUUACAUUUAAUAUUUUAAACCCAAAUCAAACCCAAAUCAAAUUCAAUU